UACGUAGGGGGCUAGCGUUGUCCGGAAUCAUUGGGCGUAAAGCGCGUGUAGGCGGUCCGGUAAGUCCGCUGUGAAAGUCGGGGGCUCAACCCUCGGAUGCCGGUGGAUACUGUCGGGCUUGAGUACGGAAGAGGCGAGUGGAAUUCCUGGUGUAGCGGUGAAAUGCGCAGAUAUCAGGAGGAACACCAGUGGCGAAGGCGGCUUUCUGGACGGUAACUGACGCUGAGACGCGAAAGCGUGGGGAGCAAACAGG
rnacentral:rRNA from 1 species